ACGCUGACUAGUGCUGAGCUGACAGCGUACUUCUCGCCAGGCCUUAAGGUCGUUUGCAAACCACCAACAUAUCGCAUAUUUUGUCUGUGGGCAUCGGCUUUCCACUAUUCUUAGUUCGAUCUACCAUGUCCCGGAGUUUGAGGCCGGCCCUGCUGGCUGCCGCCAUCAUCACCGCCGUCUUGGCCACGUGUCCCUCCUCCGAAUGGAAGCAGUUCCGGGACAUGUGCUACUGGCGUUCCAAUUUCACACAGACAUGGGAAGAGGCGAAGGAAGCUUGUUCGUCAAUGUUCGCCGGCUCGGAGCUGGUAUCGAUUCAUGACCUGGAACUGCACAUGUUUCUUGCUGAUGACCUGCUUGACCAUGAACCUGCUUGGUUGGGGCUGCGUCGAGCUGAUGAGUACGCUCCCUGGGUCUGGACGGACGGGUCACCGUUCGACUAUAGUCUGUGGUUUGGGGGCGACCCUGAUUGUUUUAAGGGUGAGUGCUGUGCAAUUAUGAACUAUCUUACCAUCGCCUGGAAAGGGUUCGGCUGUAGCGAUGAUCGUUUCAACUUUGUUUGUCAGUUUAAGGCAUAGGUUUGGUGAAUGCUGUCACUAAAUCAAAUUGCUGUGCGAUUUUAUUCAUAAAUAAUUGAGUAGGUAUCAACGUCCGAAUACAAUAUUUGAAUGUC